UGGUGGGGUGAUGGCCUACCAAGGCUUUGACGGGUAGCCGGCCUGAGAGGGUGACCGGUCACAUUGGGACUGAGAUACGGCCCAGACUCCUACGGGAGGCAGCAGUGGGGAAUAUUGCACAAUGGGCGAAAGCCUGAUGCAGCGACGCCGCGUGAGGGAUGACGGCCUUCGGGUUGUAAACCUCUGUUAGCAUCGAAGAAGCGAAAGUGACGGUAGGUGCAGAGAAAGCGCCGGCUAACUACGUGCCAGCAGCCGCGGUAAUACGUAGGGCGCGAGCGUUGUCCGGAAUUAUUGGGCGUAAAGAGCUUGUAGGCGGUUGGUCGCGUCUGCUGUGAAAGGCUGGGGCUUAACCCUGGUUUUGCAGUGGGUACGGGCUAACUAGAGUGCAGUAGGGGAGACUGGAAUUCCUGGUGUAGCGGUGGAAUGCGCAGAUAUCAGGAGGAACACCGAUGGCGAAGGCAGGUCUCUGGGCUGUAACUGACGCUGAGAAGCGAAAGCAUGGGGAGCGAACAGGAUUAGAUACCCUGGUAGUCCAUGCCGUAAACGUUGGGCACUAGGUGUGGGGGACAUUCCACGUUUUCCGCGCCGUAGCUAACGCAUUAAGUGCCCCGCCUGGGGAGUACGGCCGCAAGGCUAAAACUCAAAGAAAUUGACGGGGGCCCGCACAAGCGGCGGAGCAUGCGGAUUAAUUCGAUGCAACGCGAAGAACCUUACCAAGGCUUGACAUAUACUGGACUGCGUCAGAGAUGGCGUUUCCCUUCGGGGCUGGUAUACAGGUGGUGCAUGGUUGUCGUCAGCUCGUGUCGUGAGAUGUUGGGUUAAGU
rnacentral:rRNA from 1 species